CGGCUCCCCUCCCUUCCCGCUGCCUCUCUCUUUCUCUUUCUCUCUCUACUUUCCAUCGGGCUUGAUCUUAGCAGGCCUCGCAAGAGGGAAGGAGGAAGGAGUGAAGGAGAGCGAGAGUUAGCGGUAGGAUGGGGAGGUGAUCGCAGUGUGAUGAGCCCGGAGAGUGGAGAAAGUCCAGGAAGACCCGACUCGGGCGUUUUAAAUACCGAGCUCCAGGACGUGGAGCCAAGGUGGAACUCCACCAUCUGCACAACCCAGAAGGAGCGGGUGUCCUACGCCAGCUCUCGGGGCAGGACGCUGGGCUCCAUGUUUCCUAGAGGAGGACAGUUGCUGCACCACACCGCUGCGGUUGUUGGGAGUGCGUGGUUUGAUGGCUAGGACGAGGCAAUCACGCCCCAGUUGGACCCGUGUGCCGAUGGCUGGGUGUCGCUCAAACACCAGGGCACGCGUGGGGUGGAAGUACUGCUGCAGUAGCCAUGGCUGGACUUGUGACCGUGUUGAUGAUGUGGUGUAGGGUCCUAAGUGCAAAAAUUGGAGGAUCUGGCAGGUUUCACAUAGACAAAGUUUUUACUUUGUCGUGGUCUGUCAAAGUCUCUAACGAAGGUCACAGCUAAGGGAUGACAUUGCUCUAUUAGGACUUUAUUUCGCUGAAUGGGACACAGACCUUCUUUGAAGUGAAAAGCACUUACACUCUCCUAAGUGGUGUUAAGUGCUCAGAAGCACAUGAUGGUUUGAGUAGUCUCAUUGACCUUUUUCCCCACCAUUUUGCGAUAGUUGCCGUAUGAGUUUGUAGUUGUAACGAUACUGUGUAUCAACUGUGUUACUGUUGUGGCUCCAGCCCAGCGGUGGGGGCUCUGUGAAGAACAACCUUGACAGGAAAAAGUUAGUAAUACAAUUGCGUAUUAGUAACUUCUGGGGUGUGUAGAGGAUCUUUGCCUGGUCUCCUCCAAGUUUUCCUUAGAUGUCUGGAUUAGUUCUGGAAAGAAACAGAACUAGUGCCUCUUGGUUAGUGGUGGCCAUCUUGCUUCAGCUCCUGCUCUUCGUUUAAAAUUUCUGCUCUCUUAAGAUCUUUGUGUUAUUACAAGAAGAUGACAUUUGGCAACUGGAUGUGGGCUGUGUGUUUAAUACUAGUGUGGCAUAUAAGUAAUGUUGCUCAAGUAAUAACACAGCAGGAAGAUGCUCUGUGAGACAGCAGACUGCUGACCCAGGCUGCAGUCGGUUUUCGGCCCAGUCACUUUGCAGGCGUUCGCAUGGAGGAGCGCGAAGCCGUCACCGGCUACGCUGUGAGCUGCACCACGGCAUUGUCAAGUGCUGUGGUUCGAAGGCUGUGAAUCACUUCCUUUCUUUGUUAUUCCAUUUGGACUAGUUUUGCUUAUCACUGUGUAAUAUGGAAGGGUUUAUCCACCAGAACAGGUAGGUAGAAAUAUGGCUUUUCAUUUCUUGUUUGGGAUGUCUGGAAUGAGUAUGACCUUCUCAGCUGGGCGUGCUUCAUUAAAACUUCGUCUACCUGUCGGAUGCGUGGAAAAAAUAUGUACAGGCCUCAAAUUAUCAAUCUAGCUACAUUUUGCAUCUUCACUGUGAAGCUCUUGUGAUGGAGAGUCAGAAGAAAUGUCUAGAAAGCUGAAGAGUUUUUAUGCCUAACAGGUAGCAAGUUUGCGGAUGGUAGCUUUAUUUAAACGACAACUCAGCUUUGCUUCUUCCCGUCCCAGAAACCAAACCGCAUCAAAGGAACUCAUUAGAAAGGAGCUCUUGCAGGCUGUGAUGUCCAAUACCAGUUAGACCACACGUGAGAUGAAGCUCUUCCCACCAGCACUUUACGCUUUCAGAGCUGACACCUCAUUUCUUGCUUGGAUACACCAUUGUUUUCUGUCCUUCUUUUGAACAACUAAAGCAUUAUGAGGAUGGCAGGAUGACCAUUAAACAGUUUCAAGAUUUUAUCUUGAACUAUGUUAUUCUCCUGAAUAAUUUGGGGUUUAUGGGACUAUUUUAAAGCCAUACUACACUUGAUUCCUCUUUGACUCCAUUAGUAACAUCUGAGUCCUUCAAGGUUUCUUACCGAAUUUCAGCAAAUGAGUCAAUAAUAAUUUCCUCUGCAAUUGAGAGUAUUUAAUGCUGGCUGCAGAAUUAUUUUCAUUAUAGCUGAUUGUGGUCUAGGAGUCAUGAUAAAACACAUUUAAAAAGUAGAGUGUGCAUUACCCACACUAUAUUUUUGCUCAUGUAUUGGUGGCACUCAAGAAACUUAAUUCACUAUAAAAUUUAAAAUUUCAGAAAUAAAUGUGACUAUUUCUCCUAUUAGUCCAUCCAGUUUCUACUGUCAUGUUAUUUUAGAAAAUUUUUUAACCUUUUAAACUUAAAGAUAAAUUCAAUGAAUAUCUUUACAUUAAAGCUAAUUAAGACCACAGACAAAAUAACCUCAGUAUUCUGUUAACUGGGUGCCUUUUUCCAGUUAAAGUGGCUUCAAAUCAUCUGAAAUAUGUCCUAUUAUAUUUCUUUUAGGAGCAUGAAAUAGUUAUCAAUUUAUUCCAGAAAUUAAAGACUAUCUAUCGAGAAUUCUAUGUUUACUGGUAGUCAGUUCUAGAUUUGUUUUUUAGAACCAGGACACUUUGCAUCUAAAGAGAGUUACUUCCAUUAUAGGUGAGAAGGUAGGUGUUAAUUUUGAAAGAAAAAUAAAAGAAGGUUUAUUUUUGCGUAAAUAUAAAGACUUUUACCUUAACACUGAGGAAUGUGGUACAUAUUUUAGUAUAAUUCCCAAGCAAUAUAAAAUGCUAGUUUGCCUUUGCUUGACUUCCAUGUGCUUGGGCCUUCGAGCUUUUCUGAGUGGGUGGAAGAGUCAUGGAGUAUUCCUUCAUUCCCCCCCCCCCAGUAAGAGAGCAUCUGUUAAAUAUUAAAGUGCUAUGCUGCAUAUUCUUUAGUAUUAACAAAUUAAAAGUAAAGGACUGGCAAAAGGUAUCUGCAAUGGCCUUCAUUAACACACCCCUAUUCUGCUUUAUGAUUCAAAUACAUUGUUGGAUGCGUUGAUAGAAAAUCUCAUUAAUUUUGACAGCAAACAGAAAUGGUAAUACAUUUGAAAGUGAAUACCAUUUUUGUUGACUCACAUUAAAGUUUUUGUCACUGCUUUGGAGUAACAUUUUGAAUUCUCCAUCUUGAAUUUGGUUCCCACAUUAUCUUAACACAAAUGGUUCCCCCAUUAUCUUAACACACACAGUCUCACAAAGGCUGUGGUAUUAAAAUAUAUGACAUGGUUUUACAGGAAAAAAUUUUUAAUAUGAACAGCGCACCUAGCUUUUUUUUUCCCCCUACCACAGAGCAUCCUGUUUAAUGCAAUAAAAUUCAACUUUAUUGAUGAAUAUAUGGAUAAGUUAUCAAUAUUGUAGAAAUGCUCAUGAAGCUGACACUUUUUCAUUUAAUGUUUUGAUUUUUCAAAUUUUAGAUAAUAAACACAAUUAUACAUUCAGCGACAAUGAUGUUGAAAUCUAAAGUGUUAUUUUAACAUUGUGUCAGAUUAUAUUACAACACCUUAGGGAGUCAUCUAAAGAUUAUAGCUAAGUCUCUGAAAUGGACUGUCACCUGCAUGUAUUUCUGGAUCACAGUAAUAAAAUCACUUUUAAAACUCA